CCCUGGCGGCGUGCCUAAUACAUGCAAGUCGAGCGAACGGACGAGAAGCUUGCUUCUCUGAUGUUAGCGGCGGACGGGUGAGUAACACGUGGAUAACCUACCUAUAAGACUGGGAUAACUUCGGGAAACCGGAGCUAAUGCCGGAUAAUAUUUUGAACCGCAUGGUUCAAAAGUGAAAGACGGUCUUGCUGUCACUUAUAGAUGGAUCCGCGCUGCAUUAGCUAGUUGGUAAGGUAACGGCUUACCAAGGCAACGAUGCAUAGCCGACCUGAGAGGGUGAUCGGCCACACUGGAACUGAGACACGGUCCCGACUCCUACGGGAGGCAGCAGUAGGGAAUCUUCCGCAAUGGGCGAAAGCCUGACGGAGCAACGCCGCGUGAGUGAUGAAGGUCUUCGGAUCGUAAAACUCUGUUAUUAGGGAAGAACAUAUGUGUAAGUAACUGUGCACAUCUUGACGGUACCUAAUCAGAAAGCCACGGCUAACUACGUGCCAGCAGCCGCGGUAAUACGUAGGUGGCAAGCGUUAUCCGGAAUUAUUGGGCGUAAAGCGCGCGUAGGCGGUUUUCUAAGUCUGAUUGAAAGCCCACGGCUCAACCGUGGAGGGUCAUUGGAAACUGGAAAACUUGAGUGCAGAAGAGGAAAGUGGAAUUCCAUGUGUAGCGGUGAAAUGCGCAGAGAUAUGGAGGAACACCAGUGGCGAAGGCGACUUUCUGGUCUGUAACUGACGCUGAUGUGCGAAAGCGUGGGGAUCAAACAGGAUUAGAUACCCUGGUAAUCCACGCCGUAAACGAUGAGUGCUAAGUGUUAGGGGGUUUCCGCCCCUUAGUGCUGCAGCUAACGCAUUAAGCACUCCGCCUGGGGAGUACGACCGCAAGGUUGAAACUCAAAGGAAUUGACGGGGACCCGCACAAGCGGUGGAGCAUGUGGUUUAAUUCGAAGCAACGCGAAGAACCUUACCAAAUCUUGACAUCCUUUGACACUCUAGAGAUAGAGCCUUCCCCUUCGGGGGACAAAGUGACAGGUGGUGCAUGGUUGUCGUCAGCUCGUGUCGUGAGAUGUUGGGUUAAGUCCCGCAACGAGCGCAACCCUUAAGCUUAGUUGCCAUCAUUAAGUUGGGCACUCUAAGUUGACUGCCGGUGACAAACCGGAGGAAGGUGGGGAUGACGUCAAAUCAUCAUGCCCCUUAUGAUUUGGGCUACACACGUGCUACAAUGGACAAUACAAAGGGCAGCGAAACCGCGAGGUCAAGCAAAUCCCAUAAAGUUGUUCUCAGUUCGGAUUGUAGUCUGCAACUCGACUACAUGAAGCUGGAAUCGCUAUUAAUCGUAGAUCAGCAUGCUACGGUGAAUACGUUCCCGGGUCAU
rnacentral:rRNA from 1 species